GAUGAACGCUAGCGGCAGGCUUAACACAUGCAAGUCGAGGGGCAGCACAGGUAGCAAUACUGGGUGGCGACCGGCAAACGGGUGCGGAACACGUACGCAACUUACCCUAAACAGAUGAAUAGCCCUCGGAAACGGGGAUUAAUACAUCGUAAACUAUAGGAUUGGCAUCAAUUUUAUAGAAUAGCUGAGGCGGUUUAGGAUGGUCGUGCGUCUGAUUAGCUAGUUGGUAGGGUAACGGCCUACCAAGGCUACGAUCAGUAGGGGGCGUGAGAGCGUGGCCCCCCACACGGGUACUGAGACACGGCCCAGACUCCUACGGGAGGCAGCAGUGGGGAAUUUUGGACAAUGGACGCAAGUCUGAUCCAGCCAUGCCGCGUGCGGGAAGAAGGCCUUCGGGUUGUAAACCGCUUUUGUCAGGGAAGAAACGGCUCGCUCUAAUACAGUGGGCUAAUGACGGUACCUGAAGAAUAAGCACCGGCUAACUACGUG
rnacentral:rRNA from 1 species